UAAAAGUGCUGCAAGGCACUGGUAGAGGAUGGACUUAUGGCGCAUUAGCUGGUUGGUGAGGUAACGGCUCACCAAGGCGACGAUGCGUAGCCGACCUGAGAGGGUGACCGGCCACACUGGGACUGAGACACGGCCCAGACUCCUACGGGAGGCAGCAGUAGGGAAUUUUCGGCAAUGGGGGGAACCCUGACCGAGCAACGCCGCGUGAAGGAAGAAGGAAUUCGUUCUGUAAACUUCUGUUAUAAAGGAAGAAAGACGGAUGGAGGAAAUGACAUCCGAGUGACGGUACUUUAUGAGAAAGCCACGGCUAACUACGCGCCAGCAGCCGCGGUAAUACGUAGGUGGCAAGCGUUAUCCGGAAUUAUUGGGCGUAAAGAGGGAGCAGGCGGCAGCAAAGGUCUGUGGUGAAAGACUGAAGCUUAACUUCAGUAAGCCAUAGAAACCGGGCAGCUAGAGUGCAGGAGAGGAUCGUGGAAUUCCAUGUGUAGCGGUGAAAUGCGUAGAUAUAUGGAGGAACACCAGUGGCGAAGGCGACGAUCUGGCCUGCAACUGACGCUCAGUCCCGAAAGCGUGGGGAGCAAAUAGGAUUAGAUACCCUAGUAGUCCACGCCGUAAACGAUGAGUACUAAGUGUUGGAAGUCAAAUU
rnacentral:rRNA from 1 species